AUAUAUAUACACUCACCGGCCACUUUAUUAGGUAUACCUGUCCAACUGCUUGUUAACACUUAAUUUCUAAUCAGCCAAUCACAUGGCGGCAACUUAGUGCAUUUAGGCAUGUAGACAUGGUCAAGACAAUCUCCUGCAGUUCAAACCGAGCAUCAGUAUGGGGAAGAAAGGUGAUUUGAGUGACUUUGAACGUGGCAUGGUUGUUGGUGCCAGAAGGGCUGGUCUGAGUAUUUCAGAAACUGCUGAUCUACUGGGAUUUUCACGCACAACCAUCUCUGGGGUUUACAGAGAAUGGUCCGAAAAAGAAAAAAUAUCCAGUGAGCGGCAGUUCUGUGGGCGGAAAUGCCUUGUUGAUGCCAGAGGUCAGAGGAGAAUGGCCAGACUGGUUCGAGCUGAUGGAAAGGCAACAGUGACUCAAAUAACCACCCGUUACAACCAAGGUAGGUAGAAGAGCAUCUCUGAACGCACAGUACGUCGAACUUUGAGGCAGAUGGGCUACAGCAGCAGAAGACCACACCGGGUGCCACUCCUUUCAGCUAAGAACAGGAAACUGAGGCUACAAUUUGCACAAGCUCAUCGAAAUUGGACAAUAGAAGAUUGGAAAAACGUUGCCUGGUCUGAUGAGUCUCGAUUUCUGCUGCGACAUUCGGAUGGUAGGGUCAGAAUUUGGCGUCAACAACAUGAAAGCAUGGAUCCAUCCUGCCUUGUAUCAACGGUUCAGGCUGGUGGUGGUGGUGUCAUGGUGUGGGGAAUAUUUUCUUGGCACUCUUUGGGCCCCUUGGUACCAAUUGAGCAUCGUUGCAACGCCACAGCCUACCUGAGUAUUGUUGCUGACCAUGUCCAUCCCUUUAUGACCACAAUGUACCCAACUUCUGAUGGCUACUUUCAGCAGGAUAAUGCGCCAUGUCAUAAAGCUGGAAUCAUCUCAGACUGGUUUCUUGAACAUGACAAUGAGUUCACUGUACUCAAAUGGCCUCCACAGUCACCAGAUCUCAAUCCAAUAGAGCAUCUUUGGGAUGUGGUGGAACAGGAGAUUCGCAUCAUGGAUGUGCAGCCGACAAAUCUGCGGCAACUGUGUGAUGCCAUCAUGUCAAUAUGGACCAAGCUCUCUGAGGAAUGCUUCCAGCACCUUGUUGAAUCUAUGCCACGAAGAAUUGAGGCAGUUCUGAAGGCAAAAGGGGGUCCAACCCGUUACUAGCAUGGUGUACCUAAUAAAGUGGCCGGUGAGUGUAUAUAGCAUGCCAAAAAAAAGUGGUCUCCUAUGGUUCACUGUGUAUGGGGCAAGUUGACCAAAGGAGCGGGGUAAGUUGAGCCGUAUCCCUACUAACCCCCCAACUCUUCCCCCCAGCCCUUACUCACCUUCUCUCUCACUUCCUCACAUUCAUGUGUAUUUUUAUCUAUUAUACAUUAUUCAACAGGUACAAUAAUUCUUUUUAUUAUUAUUAUUGCAUAUAACAGCUAAAAAGCUGUUUUGUAAAAAGCCAUUUUAACAUGAGAAUGUGAUUAAGUGAUUCAGAACAUUCACAGCUGUGUUAUUGGAAAGAAAAAGUAACACAUUUCAACAAUCUGAACACUCAGAUCCUCUCAUCAGACUCCUUUACUUUCUCAGUUACCCCAGAACUUCUAAUGACUUUAUUAGUCCUCUAAGUUAAAAUGGUGUACACAAUUCUAAUCAAACGUAUGACAGACUAAAUUCACUUUCAAGAGUAAAACGUUUUUGUUUUUUUUGUUUUUAAAAAAAAUAAAUGUCUAACACCCUCACCGAUGUGCAUCUAACCUGAAAUGCAGGUUGUUGAUUACGGUACAGGUGGUGGAUCUACAUGAGCGCACUAGUUGAGUUCAAGGUGAGGUUUUUACAGUGGAAAUAGAUAUUAUACUGUGUUUUAACAAUGUUUAUAUUCUUAUUUACAAUAAAUUUGUAUUUAUUCAUAAAGUGUGAAAUGUUUAAUAUAAGUCAUAAUAUGAAUGUUAAAUGGGCACAUCACGUGUAUCUUGAAAUUUACUAUCACUCUAGGAAUUCGCGAUCUUAACGCAAAUUCACCCAAUCACCGCGUAUUUAUUGAGGCGCUGCAAUUUCGUCCAAUCACCGCGAAUUUCCCGCAAAUGUGACCAAUUAGCCGUCUUUUGCCCACGCCUCUACGUGAUAUGUACGUCAUCAUAUUCACUUCCUUGUUUACAUUGAGAAGACGAAGACGUUCGGCGCUAAACGCGCACAUUUACCUACAAAUAUCGCGGCCAAGGGUUCGUACGGGACAAUUUCCAGAUCGAUUGUGGUGUAACACGGAUGUAAGUCGUCGCUCGACGGACACUUUUUAACCGCAAAACACGCGAGAAGAAGAGCUGAAACUCAGAGAGGACAGACGAGACAAGUCACAAUGACAGAGGCUGAUGGACCCAGAACAAAACCAGUGACUGAGAGGAUCAAGGUAAGCGCGGAUAAACUCUUUAAAGCAAGAUAAGUGAAGAAUAAAAAACCUGUGGAUGGAGGCGUUCAUUUGUGAAUCAUCGUGUUUGUGUAUGUUUGUGAGAGAGAGAGAGAGGGAGUGCGAGCGUGAGUUUGUGUAAACUCACAAAUGAAAAUAGUAAUUUAACUUGGUGUUUAUAUUCAUGCUUGCUCUAUAUUGUAAGAUAAAAUGCAACCAAGUUUGGCUGCCCUGUGUGCCGGUGUUCUGUAAAUCCAUCCCACCCGUCGAGAUGCCCUACCAUGCCUCACUGCGCAUGCGCACAAAUCCAAAACGUAAUUUCGCGUGCUUUGUCAUAGAUACACCCUACCGAUCAGCUAUUAAUUGAGGAAAGCAGUAAGGUGUUAGCGUUUCCUCUUAAAAUAUAACACAAUAUCUUUUACUAACCUUACACAUCAGUACUCAGUACACUAUCAGGUUGAUUCUUUACCAGAGCACUGUCAGUAAUUGAAAAACUGCUGAUUCCUCCAAAAAUAUGUAUCCAUCUUCAACAACCAGUGGUUGACUUUCAUACUGUGUCUCGUCUUUCUCUUUAGUCUGUUCUCUGAAAGUCCUGAUUGAAUAGUAUAAGACAAUCUGCUGUGAUUGGGUUGAAUCGAUCAUGAUCGUAACCCUUCUUCCCUUAUCUUUGAGAUUUUCUCCAUCCAUCCUUGAUAUCAACUUUCCACUCACUGUCAUAUUUCAUCACAUCAUCAGUAACAAGUGUUUUCAGCUGUAUUGCCGUGCUUAAACUGUGACAUCUGUGCUGCACUUGUAUUUAAGUUCUUGCAUUACAAGUGCAUCAGAGUGCAAAAUCUGUUUUUGUGAGUGAGAAUAUGUUUAGAGUUUUAACUUGGAGAAAGUGUUUCAGGUUUUUUCUGCCAAGGCUCUAGUGUAACCUCCCCUACCCACUCACUCACAUGCUUCCAAUUCCCCUAAGCAUCCUUGUUGUGCACCACCGGCGUGAGGUUUGCAGCUGUUAAGUUCCCCAGUUUUGGUCUCCUCUGCCUGAUCCACCUGGUUGAAUUUGUGUUUUAACUUCAUCUGACUGAGCUGGCCUAGUUUGACUGUCUACCUGAUUUUGAACCUUGCCUGUUUACGACCUUAUUUAACAUGAACUCUUAUUCUACCCUGACUCCCUUUGUAUCUCUCUUUUUGGGUUCAAGCCCAGUGUUUUAGCGAGCGAUUGCAGUAAUUAACAUGUAUUUGUGGUCUUAAAGGGAAUUUUGUGUAGCAGAUGCUGUAGGGCUUUCGCAUUGACAGUCAGGGAGAGUUUAAUAAGCCUUGCUAACUCUAGUUUGAGGGUUAAAAAGAGUUCAGAGCCUCCACUCAAGAAGCGAAUAAAGAUUUAGAGAGCUACUGUUUAAUCCUUUCACAAGCCCUUCAUCCUGAUGUGCUGAAACUGAGAAAGCCAUCCUACUUUAGCCCAAAUUUAGAGACUCCAGGCACACUGUAUAAAGGCUUGAACUACAUUUAGUUUUCCUACAUGUUGCUAAGGGAUUCCCAGCAGUGGAGACUUACAUAUAACUAGUGAACGAUGCAUACUGGUACAACGAAUUCCCUCAUUUUGAUUUUACUCCUGUUUCCUCCACAGUCCCUCACAGAUAGAAACGCAGCUGUUCGAGUUUCAUGCAUUUUCCUUUUCUCUCUACUUCUUUGUAAAAUUUCACUCCUCAGAUGAGAGCAGAAACCGGGCCAUGCGCCUGUUGCACUCACACCUCCAGCGUCAGAAAUAGAGAGAUGAAUAGAUUCUGCUUUACAACAGAACUCGGAGUCAUGAUCACACUGACAGAAAGGCCGACCUAGAGCUGUGUCCUCCACACACACUCACUGAAGGCUGUUUAUUCAUAGAGCCGUUUUAAAAUAGCAGCUUGGAUGAAAAGAAAGAAACAUAGUAUUGCGUAACCAGCGCUAUCUCUUUCAGCUCUGCUUGCCAAAACAGUCAUACAAUAUGAAGAUGGCUGUUUAAUUAUAUAAUUAUAGGAUUUAUUUUAUCUGUAUGAAUGAAGUAGCAAAAUAAUUUAAAGGUGCAUACCAACCAGUUUAAGAAUGGCAAACAUGUUACGAGAUGACACAAAGUCUGCCCAGAACAUGUGUGUUAAGACUGAUGAACAGAUGAUAUAGCCUCCUUUACUCGGUGUUGCCAAUCUGUUCUGUAUAACAUCAGGAAGAUCAGACCCUACCUUAUAAAGAUUGCAUGGAGGAUGUCCCAUUUCGAAAGCACUACGGGACGCUGCUGGAAAAUGUGCCCACUUUUCUCGGGUCGCAGAGGAUGCACCCAGUGCCUCUGUCAGGGCUUAAUUUCUUUAGUGGUUCUUUGCACGUCAAACAAGGUGACAGACACAAGUAGCUAAGUGUUACACUGGUCCGUGUACUUAGCGGCCAACAGAAUUUUAUUUUCCAUUGAAAAAUCAAAAAGCGGGAGACGGGCUGUCAUAAUCAUAAAAAUCGGGGAAAUAAAAAAAAACAACUCUGUAUUUUAAUUUCUGUGAUGUGGCUCGAAAUCGAAGACCAAAAUAUGUGCGUGGAAAUCUUGUGUUUCUAGUUUUAUUCACGUUUUUGUUGUGACUUGGCGCAAGACUUUGGCUCUUGUUAGCAUAACUAUAUAUAUAGAAGACUAGAUACGCCAGAUUGCUGUAGCAGCCCACUUAGCGACGUACCUACAUGGCAGCCAUCUUGACGGGGGCACUCACUUCAAAGUUUCACUCCAAGUCACAACACAAGAUUUUCACUCACUAAUUUUGAUCUUUGAUAUUCAUUAAAAGCCACAUCAAAGAAAGUCAAACACUUGUCUGUUUUUUUGUCAUUCUCUGAUCUUUAUGAUCAAAAUGGAAAAUGGUUUGUUUUCUGUUUUUCGUCUCCCGAUUCCAUACUGGUCAUCGGGAGACGACUCGUUGGUCUCCCAAUUUUCGUUUUUUCGUUUAAAAACAAAAAUCAAGUACAGCCGCCAAGUACACGGACCUACACUAUCCAGCAUUUCGUUUCAACUUGAUGGGACAGAAGAGGAUUACAAAUCCUGAAAAAGGCUGAUCCCUUAAAGCUUGUAGUUACUUUCAAGAUUAUGAUAAUGGUGGUUAAGUUUAGUGACGUGUUACCUUUGUGAGGUUGUCAUCCAGCUAUUGAAUGUUGGAGUAGAUCAAUGCAAUGCAAGUGUAAGAGCAAGAGCAACUGGUUCAGACCGUUCAGCUGAAGUGAUCUAUGAAGGCCAUAAAAGCCGGAUCUUUCAUCCUUUCCCGGAUCUUACCGCUGUUGACUUCUGCAACUCCUUACUGGCAGUCCUCCACACAUACAGACUCAAACUGCUGGAGGUGAUCAAGAAUACAGCAGCAAAACCCUGCUUCUUGCUGACAAAAAAACAACCCUCUUGCAUCCCUUCGCUACCUUAACUUGACUAAGAUUGUCUUGUAGUAAGACCCCCGAAUCUAUAGACACAAUCUAUUAAGCAGCCAGUCGGUAAAUUGUAAAGAGAAGAGGCUCCAUUUCAUUUUCAGAGUAAUGAACAGUAAGAGGCAAAAGAGGCUGAAUGAUGAGUGCAUAUUAAUUCCAUUCCUGGCAUAACAAACGGUGGCUUUGUUACUCAGACUAAGUAAACGUGUGCAGACUGCAUGUCAAGUGCUUUAUUACCGCGGAGAACACGCGUUAUGGUAUCAGCGUGGAUGAGAGCUCUCUGGGGGAUUCAAAAUAAUCAUGAAUGUUCUUCCCUCGGCGUAAUCUCAUUAUGUGCUCACAGGGUGUUCUUGUAUCAUUCAGAUACUUUUAAUUGUCUCCGAAGCUAAUGCAACUGAUGUUUUUUUUUUCUUUCUGCUAUGCAUUUCGUCUCCCUCUCCUCUCUGUCCUUCUUUCUUCUCAUUUGUUCCUCUCUCUCUGCUCGUCUCUUUACUUUUGUCAGUCCCUCCUCAUUAGUGUCUAUUAUCUGUGAGGAGAGCUGAAGAAUCAACGAGUCAUUUCCUGCAGUCGACACAAGCCACAGUGUGAGUGUGAGUGUUAGAGUAUGGGUGUGUGUUUGUGUGCCUGAGCUACUAAUGAUCUACAAAUCCCCUGGUCGUGUUGUGGCCCCAGCUCUGUGUCACUGCUACUUAUUGGCAAACAAGGAUCUGGGCUUAACGGCACAGUGGAUGAGAUGUCUGCGACUGUAUGUGUGAUUGCGCGCGUGCACGCACUCACACAAACGCAGGCACACAUGCACACAGAUUAGUUUCUAUCAUCACACUGAGUGGAAUCCCUUUAAGCAGAUGAGGGAUUCUGGUGUUGGCUCCGUAAAUUACACCUGCUAAAUAUAUCCUACUGGAAGAAAAACUUUUAACAACCACGACCAAGAGUUUGAAAAUGAAGAUAGCCUCAGAUCAGUCAGUCUGGAAACAAGACGACAUUGAAAAGUGCUGCAUUUAACAUUUUGCUCUUUUUUUGUCUCUCUAAUGUCACACCUGAAGAACAUCCUCACUUAGAGGUCACUAACCCUAUAAGCUACAAGAAAGAAAAAGGCCAGUCAUCAGAUAAACUCAACUUUUUCACUUAUUCUUACAUUUUACUGCUGAGUUGUUAAAACUUUCACCUCUGUCAUCACUCUUUCUUAAGCUGAUCUCAACUGCUUUCAACAGAGAUGCUGAAGCUAAACCUCCUCUUAAGAAACACGCUGCCUUUUGACAAAAUCCUCGAUCAGAGGCUGAAUGUGGUAUAUACACUCACCGGCCACUUUAUUAGGUACACCUGUCCAACUGCUCGUUAACACUUAAUUUCUAAUCAGCCAAUCACAUGGCGGCAACUUAGUGCAUUUAGGCAUGUAGACAUGGUCAAGACAAUCUCCUGCAGUUCAAACCGAGCAUCAGUAUGGGGAAGAAAGGUGAUUUGAGUUACUUUGAACGUGGCAUGGUUGUUGGUGACAGAAUGGCUGGUCUGAGUAUUUCAGAAACUGCUGAUCUACCGGGAUUUUCACGCACAACCAUCUCUAGGGUUUACAGAGAAUGGUCCGAAAAAGAAAAAAUAUCCAGUGAGCGGCAGUUCUGUGGGCGGAAAUGCCUUGUUGAUGCCAGAGGUCAGAGGAGAAUGGCCAGACUGGUUCGAGCUGAUAGAAAGGCAACAGUGACUCAAAUAACCACCCAUUACAACCAAGGUAGGCAGAAGAGCAUCUCUGAACGCACAGUACGUCGAACUUUGAGGCAGAUGGGCUACAGCAGCAGAAGACCACACCGGGUGCCACUCCUUUCAGCUAAGAACAGGAAACUGAGGCUACAAUUUGCACAAGCUCAUCGAAAUUGGACAAUAGAAGAUUGGAAAAACGUUGCCUGGUCUGAUGAGUCUCGAUUUCUGCUGCGACAUUCGGAUGGUAGGGUCAGAAUUUGGCGUCAACAACAUGAAAGCAUGGAUCCAUCCUGCCUUGUAUCAACGGUUCAGGCUGGUGGUGGUGGUGUCAUGGUGUGGGGAAUAUUUUCUUGGCACUCUUUGGGCCCCUUGGUACCAAUUGAGCAUCGUUGCAACGCCACAGCCUACCUGAGUAUUGUUGCUGACCAUGUCCAUCCCUUUAUGACCACAAUGUACCCAACUUCUGAUGGCUACUUUCAGCAGGAUAAUGCGCCAUGUCAUAAAGCUGGAAUCAUCUCAGACUGGUUUCUUGAACAUGACAAUGAGUUCACUGUACUCAAAUGGCCUCCACAGUCACCAGAUCUCAAUCUAAUAGAGCAUCUUUGGGAUGUGG
rnacentral:lncRNA from 1 species